rnacentral:misc_RNA from 1 species
UGGAUGAUUUAUGGAAUGAGGAUUUCAAAAAAUGGUUUGAUUUGAAAGAUUUGUUAGUCGGAGGUGCACGUGGCAGCAAAAUAAUGGUGACUACUCGUCUUGAAAAUGUUGCUAAGAUGAUAAGAUCAAAUGAAACGUGCAAAUUACAAGGCCUACUUGAUCAUGAGUCAUGGUCUUUGUUUGCAGAAAUCGCCUUUAAUCAAGGACGAGUAACGAGUCCAAAGCAUGAGAUAAUUGGAAAAGAAAUUGUGGCUAAGUGUAGUGGAGUCCCUUUAGCAAUACGAGCAAUAGGAAGCUUAUUAUAUUAUAAAAAUACAACAAAUGAGUGGGAAUCCUUCAAAGAAAAAGAGCUUUUAAAUUUGAAUGAAGAGGAGAUUGGUGUUAUGAAAACUCUAAGGUUGAGUUAUAAUCAUCUACCUUCACAUUUAAAGUGUUGCUUUGCUUAUUGUAGAUUAUUUCCAAAAGGUGCUAAAAUUAGCAUAAGAUAUAUGAUGAGUCUUUGGUUGGCACAAGGAUUUAUUAGAUCUUCAGAUUCAGAACAAAGUUUUGAAGAUAUAGGUUUAAAAUAUUUUAAGAAUCUUUUAUGGAGAUCAUUCUUUCAGGAAGUAGAAGAAGAUAUAUUUGGUAAUUUAUUAAGUUGUAAAAUGCAUGAUUUGAUACAUGAUCUUGCUGUGCAAGUAGCUGGAGAGGAAAAUGUUUUGGUAAAUUCAGAUGCACAACGUGUUAAAAAAGAAACUCGACAUGUGUCACUUAAUUUUGAAGUUGAGUCAUGGCAGAAAGUUGCAAGCAGCUUACCAAAUGCGACAAAGGUGCGAACAUUUAUACCAUUGAAGUGGUCAAUAAGGGAUGAUAUUAAAAAAGUUGAAUGCCAGGAAAUUUUUUCCAAAUUAAGUCAUGCAAGGGUAUUGAAUCUGCAGUGUUUGGGAGAGAGAGUGCCACAUUCCAUUGACAAAUUGAAGCAUAUAAGGUUUCUCGAUCUUUCUGAGAAUAAAAGAAUUGAGGUCCUUCCUAAUUCCAUAAUUAAACUUCAAAACCUGCAAUUUCUAUACCUAGUUAAUUGUGAAAGGCUUAAGCAGUUGCCUAAGCAUAUCAAAAUGUUGGUCAAUCUCCAACAACUUUACCUUGAGGGAUGUGAAAGUUUGACUCAUAUGCCAUGUGGGAUUGGUCAAUUGAGUUCCCUUGAGAAUUUAUCAGUAUU